GACGAACGCUGGCGGCGUGCUUAACACAAGCAAGUCGUACGGUAAGGCCCUUUCGGGGGUACACGAGUGGCGAACGGGUGAGUAACACGUGAGUAACCUGCCCACAACUUUGGGAUAACGCUAGGAAACUGGUGCUAAUACUGGAUAUGUGCCCCUGCUGCAUGGUGGGGGUUGGAAAGCUCCGGCGGUUGUGGAUGGACUCGCGGCCUAUCAGCUUGUUGGUGGGGUAGUGGCCUACCAAGGCGGCGACGGGUAGCCGGCCUGAGAGGGUGACCGGCCACAUUGGGACUGAGAUACGGCCCAGACUCCUACGGGAGGCAGCAGUGGGGAAUAUUGCACAAUGGGCGCAAGCCUGAUGCAGCAACGCCGCGUGCGGGAUGACGGCCUUCGGGUUGUAAACCGCUUUCAGCAGGGACGAAGCUUUUUGUGACGGUACCUGCAGAAGAAGCACCGGCUAACUACGUG
rnacentral:rRNA from 1 species